UACAGAGGGUGCUAGCGUUGUUCGGAAUCAUUGGGCGUAAAGGGCGUGUAGGCGGUUUGUUAAGUCAUGUGUGAAAUCCCUCGGCUCAACCGGGGAACGACGCAUGAAACUGGCAAGCUAGAGUACCAAAGAGGGGGGUGGAAUUCCCGGUGUAGCGGUGAAAUGCGUAGAUAUCAGGAGGAACACCGGUGGCGAAAGGCGGACAUCCUGGACCGAUAUUGACGUGAUGCGCGAAAGCCAGGGGAGCAAA
rnacentral:rRNA from 1 species